rnacentral:rRNA from 1 species
UACGUAGGGGGCUAGCGUUGCUCGGAAUCACUGGGCGUAAAGGGUGCGUAGGCGGGCUUUUAAGUCAGGGGUGAAAUCCUGGAGCUCAACUCCAGAACUGCCUUUGAUACUGGCGAUCUCGAGUCCGGGAGAGGUGAGUGGAACUGCGAGUGUAGAGGUGAAAUUCGUAGAUAUUCGCAAGAACACCAGUGGCGAAGGCGGCUCACUGGCCCGGUACUGACGCUGAGGUGCGAAAGCGUGGGGAGCAAACAGG